AUUGAACGCUGGCGGCAGGCCUAACACAUGCAAGUCGAGCGGAUGAAGGGAGCCUGCUCCCUGAUUUAGCGGCGGACGGGUGAGUAAUGCCUAGGAAUCUGCCUGGUAGUGGGGGGUAACGUUCCGAAAGGAACGCUAAUACCGCAUACGUCCUACGGGAGAAAGCAGGGGACCUUCGGGCCUUGCGCUAUCAGAUGAGCCUAGGUCGGAUUAGCUAGUUGGUGAGGUAAUGGCUCACCAAGGCGACGAUCCGUAACUGGUCUGAGAGGAUGUUCAGUCACACUGGAACUGAGACACGGUCCAGACUCCUACGGGAGGCAGCAGUGGGGAAUAUUGGACAAUGGGCGAAAGCCUGAUCCAGCCAUGCCGCGUGUGUGAAGAAGGUCUUCGGAUUGUAAAGCACUUUAAGUUGGGAGGAAGGGCAGUAGCUAAUACCUUGCUGUUUUGACGUUACCGACAGAAUAAGCACCGGCUAACUUCGUGCCAGCAGCCGCAGUAACAC
rnacentral:rRNA from 1 species